GGGGUUUUGUAUACAAAAUGUGAGACACGUUACCAUUGGACGAAGAGUUAGCCAAUGUGUAAUAUGACCCACCAGUCAGGAUUGACAGUACUGAAUGAGUAACACAAUGUGACAGCCAAUUAGUAAAAAGCCAGCUGGAGAGCACUGACGGCUUGGAAAAAUGUGGCUAUAAAAGUUACCUAAAAGACGAUGUUUUAAAUUCAAUAAAAUAAAGUUUAUCCCUAUAAAAAUGUUGUAAUAAGAAACUUGGGUUUUACCCAUGUGAUUAUAAAUUUAAAAAUAUGGUGGUUUUACUUUGAUAAAAUAUUUCCUAUCUACGGUCCUGAUGAAAUUUCCACUGCCAAAAUAAUUAAACAUACAGAUACCACCGAAACUGGCUCGCGGCCGCCCGUUCUCAGGUAGUUAGGGGGCGGGGGUUGUGACAGAAGGAAUAUAUAAUAUUCUAUUAACAAGUUACAUAUUUAUAUAUACAUAUAAUAAAGUAAACCAAUUUGAGACACAUGACGGUUUAUGGGGCGAUCUCAAUUGUCUUUUUCUGCCUAAAUAAAUAGUUAUUAUAACUAUUUUUCAAAAGAAGAAGUUAUUUCUUGCAGUUUAUACCCCUGACAAUGCUUAUACCAACGCUAUCGAGAUGCCUAAAUUUAAAAAGUUGUUAUUGGAUUAUCAUAGAUCUAAUAUAUGAUACCUACAACAACAAAUUCUAACAAGAUAUCAUCAUCAAGUUUUUCGAAAUCCGUUACGUAUGAUCUACAAAAUAGAACACGGGGCAACACUAUUUACCAGUAAAACAAUAUUUAUAAAUUUAUGAAUUCUUUGUAUAUUAUCUUAAUAUAUUUAUAUUCUUAUUGAGUCCGUGCCUUAAUUUUAAUAAAUUUUAUGUAUCUCGGUUAUUGAAUUUAUGUGUAAACUCAGUUACUUAUAGCUUUAAAGUUUAUACAAGUUUUAUUUGUUACACCCGUGUAUCACACGGGAAAUAACCUAGUUUAAGAUAUAUACAUAUUUGAAAACUACCAUUAUAGUUUAACCCGUUUUCUUAAAUAAAUAAAUAAAUAAUACAAUAUAUAAACCUUCAAGGUAUUCCAAAGAAAAAAAACAGACGUUGAUUUUUACAAUAUAACUAGUAAUAUCACUCGUAGGCGAUGCGUCGCAGGCCUAUUGCAAACAUCAAAUGGAUUUGCCUAAACUUUAUGUAAUGCGUUAACCAUAUGAAAAUUCAUGUUUUUACGUACUCGGUUCAGCUCAAUGUAACAUAUAUUGAAUCAAAACGUUAAGUAAUCGAGUUUAUAGAAUUUAGAGUAAAUUGCCAAAAUCGUCCCUGAGGUUUGGGCAUGUUUGUCAUUUUCAUCCAAACAACUUUUUUGGUACAAUAUAGUCCUUCACGUUUGAGAUUUUUUGUCAUUUUCCUCCAAAAAUCUUAUUUGUUUAUUUUUUCUAUCAAAUAUGUGGAUGAAAAUGACAAAAAAUCCCAAAUCUAAGGGAUGAUUUUGGCA
rnacentral:lncRNA from 1 species